AUAGAGCCUAGUUACUGUCAAUUGAAUCAAAUGGUACACUUUAGAGAUGAUUGGUUGCAUGAAAACCUAUUUCCUGGAGUACAGAUAUUUCUUAAAAUUGAUAAUCUUAGGACCGAAAAGUAAACUUCUUAAACAAAACAUAUUCUCCUAUCGGCAAACUUGUUUUUUUUGCUUAGAUAGUACCUUCUUUUGCAAAGUGCUUUGUCAAUUAGUCUGCUAAAUUAUCUUUAAGCGUGAUAUCUGGACACGUUUUGAAAUUGGAAUCUGUUCUGGGUUUCAAGUUGAUGAACUAGAUAAAAAUGCAGACUCAUCGGGAACAUUGGCUGGUUUCCAUAGAAAUUUCAUCUAUGUUUCCCCUUUCAAUUGUCUGCCUGAUUGAUGAAUGUCUAUGACUUUUUUCUUGUUUCUCUUGCAGUGAUGGGAAUUCUGGAUCAAAGAGUUUCAAAUGUUGUGGAGGGAUAAUGGCAUCUGAAGCGGUUUCUCUUCUGCACGAUUUUUAUGAACAAGGAAACUAUAAUGCUCCAAAGCCUCACAGGCCACGAGUUACUCAGGCUUCUCAUUUGAUCUCUGUGCAUUGAUUCUUCCUGUUGAAUUCUCUCGUGCCUCCGCACAACUAGAGGCAAUUGGCGGCCAGAGGACUCUUCAAGCUCAAUCGUGGAUGCCGCCCUCGCUUUAAACAAGAGCUUACCUGAACAGUGGAUACCGCCUGCUAGAGGACUCCUCAAGCUCAAUACCAACUGCUCGUGGACGGACAGAGCCUCGGAAGCUUCGAUUGCUGGAAUUGUUCGGGAUUCAAGCAGUAUGUUGGUGGCUGGCUUAGCGAAAGGCGUGCGAGCUUCCUCGGUUCUGUUCGCGGAAGCCCUGGCAGUGAAUGAGUCAAUUCUGUACCUGUGCUCUGUAGUAGCCACCGACUGCUUAUCACUAGUGGAGCUUAUCGCGGGUAAUGGUGAAGCCCAUGAGCCAUGCAAGAAAUCAUUGAGGAAUGCCGGUUUUUGCUGGCCCCACUUGGUUAAGGUGAAGGUUGCUCAUCGCCCCCGCAAGGCUAAUCAAAUUGCUGAUUGGAUUGUUAAGGCCCGUAGGAACAAGACUGUCCCUUCGAAUUGGUCGUCUUUACCCCCAUAACUCCUUUGGAAUAUUUUGUGUUCAGAAACCAACUUGUCUAGCUCUAGUAGAGCUUGUUUCAUGAAUGAGUAAUGAAUGAAAGU